GUGGGGUAAUGGCUUACCAAGGCGUCGACGGGUAGCUGGUCUGAGAGGACGAUCAGCCACACUGGGACUGAGACACGGCCCAGACUCCUACGGGAGGCAGCAGUGGGGAAUCUUGCGCAAUGGGCGAAAGCCUGACGCAGCAACGCCGCGUGAGGGACGAAGGCCUUCGGGUUGUAAACCUCUUUCAGCAGGGACGAUUGUGACGGUACCUGCAGAAGAAGCCCCGGCCAACUACGUGCCAGCAGCCGCGGUAAUACGUAGGGGGCGAGCGUUGUCCGGAUUCAUUGGGCGUAAAGAGCUCGUAGGCGGCUUGGUAAGUCGGGUGUGAAACCUCCAGGCUCAACCUGGAGACGCCACUCGAUACUGCCAUGGCUAGAGUCCGGUAGGGGCCCACGGAAUUCCUGGUGUAGCGGUGAAAUGCGCAGAUAUCAGGAGGAACACCGGUGGCGAAGGCGGUGGGCUGGGCCGGAACUGACGCUGAGGAGCGAAAGCGUGGGGAGCGAACAGGAUUAGAUACCCUGGUAGUCCACGCCGUAAACGUUGGGCACUAGGUGUGGGACCUUAUCAACGGGUUCCGUGCCGUAGCUA
rnacentral:rRNA from 1 species